rnacentral:lncRNA from 1 species
GUUAAAUUCAGAUUGGAAAAUUUCAGAAGUCAGAGGGAAAAAAAAAUGGAGCUCGCAAUAAAAAUGUGGCAUGAAGAAUUACAGAGAGCUCCUAUUCUGAGACUUCAGUGCUGCAUAAGGAAAUGUUGCCCAUACUACUGGAAGCUGGCUCCAAUUACUAGCCUUUAAUUGAGAAGCAUGAAGAUGCUGAGA